GGGUUAUGUCACCUUGCCUUAACUUUCUACUUCCUAUUAGACUCUGCAUUGAAGUACAUAUAUGAGUACUAGAACCAGAGUCCAAUACUCAACUAGAAGUAAAAGAAACUGUAAGGUUAGAUUCUAUUAUGAGCAUACCUUCAAAAGGUUGAUCAUCCUUUUUCAUCUUCAGGCUUUUCAGGUAAGAUAGACAGUUUCUCCUCCAG
rnacentral:lncRNA from 1 species